GACGAACGCUGGCGACGUGCUUAACACAUGCAAGUCGAGCGAGCGGCGGACGGGUGAGUAAUGUAUGGGGAUCUGCCCGAUAGAGGGGGAUAACUACUGGAAACGGUGGCUAAUACCGCAUACUAUCGGAUGAACCCAUAUGGGAUUAGCUAGUAGGUGGGGUAAAGGCUCACCUAGGCGACGAUCUCUAGCUGGUCUGAGAGGAUGAUCAGCCACACUGGGACGGAGACACGGCCCAGACUCCUACGGGAGGCAGCAGUGGGGAAUUUUGGACAAUGGGGGCAACCCUGAUCCAGCCAUGCCGCGUGCAGGAUGAAGGUCUUCGGAUUGUAAACUGCUUUUGUCAGGGAAGCGGUACCUGAAGAAUAAGCACCGGCUAACUACGUGCCAGCAGCCGCGGUAAUUC
rnacentral:rRNA from 1 species